rnacentral:rRNA from 1 species
UACGGCCGCAAGGCUAAAACUCAAAGGAAUUGACGGGGGCCCGCACAAGCGGCGGAGCAUGCGGAUUAAUUCGAUGCAACGCGAAGAACCUUACCAAGGCUUGACAUAUACCGGAAACGGCUGGAAACAGUCGCCCCGCAAGGUCGGUAUACAGGUGGUGCAUGGUUGUCGUCAGCUCGUGUCGUGAGAUGUUGGGUUAAGUCCCGCAACGAGCGCAACCCUCGUCCUAUGUUGCCAGCACGUAAUGGUGGGAACUCAUGGGAUACUGCCGGGGUCAACUCGGAGGAAGGUGGGGAUGACGUCAAAUCAUCAUGCCCCUUAUGUCUUGGGCUUCACGCAUGCUACAAUGGCCGGUACAAAGGGCUGCGAUACCGCAAGGUGGAGCGAAUCCCAAAAAGCCGGUCUCAGUUCGGAUUGAGGUCUGCAACUCGACCUCGUGAAGUCGGAGUCGCUAGUAAUCGCAGAUCAGCAACGCUGCGGUGAAUACGUUCCCGGGCCUUGUACACACC